rnacentral:rRNA from 1 species
UACAGAGGUCUCGAGCGUUAAUCGGAGUCACUGGGCUUAAAGGGUGCGUAGGCGGGCCCGCAAGUGCUUUGUGAAAUCCCAUGGCUUAACCAUGGAAUGGCUUGGCAGACUGCGGGUCUUGAGGUCGGUAGAGGCUGCUGGAACUCUAGGUGGAGCGGUGAAAUGCGUAGAUAUCUAGAGGAACGCCGAUGGUGAAGACAGGCAGCUGGGCCGAUUCUGACGCUGAGGCACGAAAGCGUGGGGAGCGAACGGG